GAUGAACGCUGGCGGCGUGCCUAAUACAUGCAAGUCGAGCGAAUGGAUUAAGAGCUUGCUCUUAUGAAGUUAGCGGCGGGCGGGUGAGUAACACGUGGGUAACCUGCCCAUAAGACUGGGAUAACUCCGGGAAACCGGGGCUAAUACCGGAUAACAUUUUGAACCGCAUGGUUCGAAAUUGAAAGGCGGCUUCGGCUGUCACUUAUGGAUGGACCCGCGUCGCAUUAGCUAGUUGGUGAGGUAACGGCUCACCAAGGCAACGAUGCGUAGCCGACCUGGGAGGGUGAUCGGCCACACUGGGACUGAGACACGGCCCAGACUCCUACGGGAGGCAGCAGUAGGGAAUCUUCCGCAAUGGACGAAAGUCUGACGGAGCAACGCCGCGUGAGUGAUGAAGGCUUUCGGGUCGUAAAACUCCGUUGUUAGGGAAGAACAAGUGCUAGUUGAAUAAGCUGGCACCUUGACGGUACCUAACCAGAAAGCCACGGCUAACUACGUGCCAGCAGCCGCAGUAA
rnacentral:rRNA from 1 species